rnacentral:misc_RNA from 1 species
CGAGAUUACAAGCUUGAAGCAGAAUAUCCACUUGAUCCGCUGCUGAGAAGGGUUGCUCAGUUGGAGAAAGCCAUUUCUAACGACAAAGACAGGUCUAAUGAUAAGAAAAGAUUGUCUGGAUUAGGUAAACACCAACAGUUCAAGAGACCUCGAGUAACUGGAGGAACGCAUGGAUCUAUCAGACAUCCUAACGUUCUUAGCAUACAACCCCAAUCUGUUUUAAUUGAGAGAGCAGCUGCUAAUAACCCAAGCAGACUUGUCCCCUCUGUUCUUGUUGAG